ACGGGCCGGCCGGGCGCGGGAUGGCGGCACCGUGAGGGGAGCGAGGCGGCGGCGAUGGCGGCGGCGCUGCUGCUGCUGUGCUCCGCCCUGCUGUGCGCGGCGCUGGGCUGCGCGGGCGCGGCGCUGAUCCCCCCCGCGGCCGACGUGAAGGUGGAGGUGCUGCACAAGCCUUUCCUCUGCCACAGGAGGACCAAGUGGGGGGACAUGAUGCUGGUGCACUACGAAGGCUACUUGGAGAGGGACGGCUCCAUGUUUCACUCGACUUAACCUGCCUCUUUAAAAGGACUUCUAGUGACACACUAUAAAGUUUUUGCUGCUGACUAACUUCUUCACAAGCAUAACAAUGGUCAACCGAUGUGGUUUACACUUGGCAUACGGGAAGCUCUCAAAGGCUGGGACAGAGGGUUGAAGGACAUGUGUGUGGGAGAGAAACGGAAGCUGACUAUUCCGCCAGCCCUUGCUUAUGGAAAAGAAGGGAAAGGAAAAAUUCCACCUGAGAGCACAUUGAUUUUCAACAUUGACCUUCUAGAAAUUAGAAAUGGACCAAGAUCUCAUGAGUCAUUCCAAGAGAUGGAUCUUAAUGAUGACUGGAAACUAUCCAAGCAAGAGGUGAAAAUUUACUUGAAGAAAGAAUUUGAAAAGCAUGGAGCAGUGGUAAAUGACACCCAGCAUGAUGCUUUGGUUGAAGACAUAUUUGAUAAAGAGGAUGAAGACAGUGAUGGGUUUAUAUCUGCAAGGGAAUUCACAUACAAGCACGAUGAGCUGUAGAAAGAAAAGGGUGGCAUAAUUUUUUUUGACACAAAUAGCGGUGACUUAGAUUGUCUGGUUCUCGUGUCAUCUUAGUUCUGUGUUUCAGAAUUGACAAUUGCUGUUGGCAAAGAAACACUUUGUUUAUAUAAAAGAGAAUUUCUGUUAUUAUGUACAAAUGUUUUAAACUAUUUUAAAAUGUGAAAAUGUACCUCCUCUUAUACAGCAAAGACUUGCACAUCAGUGUUUUCAAAAUUUUGUAUUAAAUUAUUUUUCAGAAGUGAAACAAACUUUCCAUUUAUCAUUCAUUAUGAAAAUCAAAAUGCAGUUCAGUGACUUUCUGUGAUUUGUGUGCCAAUAUCAUUUUGAGCAGCUACCUUAUGUAUUAUUUGUAUUCUGUGGCUGAAUUACUUGACCUUCCUUCUUGAGUGUCACUGCUUAAAAAGCAGUUUACUGACCUUGGGUUUUUUUCCUGCAGUUUUUUAAAAGAUGUAGUAGAACGCAUCAGUUUAUAUGGCUGAGAAACUGACACAAAGCUGAAUGAGAAGAAUGAUUAUCAUGUGCUGAUUUUGCCUUUCUAAAGGGAGAGCGUUACCACCCGUGCCAAUAAUUGUCUGCAUUUUUCCUUAAAUUUUGUGAACAAAGCAGGAGUUGAAUGUCAGACUUUCACUUCUACUGCCAGCAGUUCUAGGAAACAUCUGUAAUUUGGAAAGCAGCAAGUUGUGCUGCAGUGUAGAGGUGGUGUCUUUUAAAUGUACACACACAUUUGUUUUGAAACUCAGACUUGGCAUUCACCAAAAAAGCUCAUACCUUUCUCUCACAGUUUGAGGGGGGAUCUUAAGCAGAAUCUUACAAGUCUGAAGUUUUUCCUUUUUGCAGAAGAGAACGAGUGUACUGAGGGAGGAUCAGUAUGGUCUGAAGACCAGUUUCCAUGGGCUUAUCAGCUUUGCAGCUGUGUGAGUUGCAGAACUUGUUUCCUUGCCCCCCGCUUUGCAGCAUUUUUUCACUAGUAGCACACAAGUGAUAUGAAUUUUAAAUGAAAAAGUGAAUUUUUAGAAAAAAAGAGGUUUGAGGUAAGUGUUAUAGUGCUGUGUCUAAACAGAGGUGGAGAGCAUUAGGAUUUCAAGCACAAAAUUGGAGUUCAAAAAACUUUUUGGAGAAGAAGGAAUAUUUUGCAAUUGCCAAUGUUUUCUUAAAUGAGAGGGGAGGGUGUCUCGGGUACAGAAUUUAUCCUGACAUCACUAACCUAUGGGUCUAUGAAAACAGCAUUGUACUUGAAAAUGGUUGCCCAAAGCUAUGUAAGGAUGCAAAGCAAUGAAAGUGAGAUUGCUGCAUUGCACUAACCCUUAACUAUCAUGAGCUGCUUUCAAGGCUCUCAGUGCUGUAGGUGUGUUAGAUGUUUCCCUGCCAUCUAGUGUUGCAACUGAGGAUUAGGGGACUCCUUCGAACUGAGCUCAGCUGCAGAGGAGCAUGUAGAGAGGCCUGUCAAUAGUGACAACCAGGGUAAAAGAAAAGUUGUAAGUGAGGGUAUGCAGUGCUGGGCUGUUCUGUUUUGGUUUUCUUCCUGCAUCUGACAUUUUGUGGGUGAUGUUCUAAGUGACAGGAAAUUGCAACCAUGUAUUUUGUUUUUAGUAACCUUAGGUCUUCUUCCUCAGCGAUUGCCAUCUGCUUUUCUUCAACCUAAUAAAACUUUCACUUCUAUGGCUAUGAGUGUCAGUAAAAUAGUGUAGGAAAGUGUUUCCCUUCUGUUUUAGGCUCAUUUCCUGCCCUUAUUUUUUUUACUGUGAAGAAAUCAUGAAUAGUCAUUACCUAUUUAGCUGUUCUUACUAGUCAUGGUUUUGCAUAUUGAUUUUUUUUUACUCAUCACUUACAAAAAAUCAAGCUUGCCUGACUUUAGUUUGCCCAAGGCUGGUAGCAUGUUCUGUGCUGGUCGUUUUGAUUUCCCCUACAGUCACUGGAGCACUGGGCAGCUGGGGGCAGUUCACUGCACAUGUGUUUGUCUUGUAUUGAGAUAGCUGCCUUACUAAAUAGAGUCUUCCUCUGUUGACUUUGUGGGGAACCUAGACCAAGGGUCUAGCCUAGGCCAAGGGAGGAUAACAGGAUAUGAAGUUGAUCUUUAAGCUAGUUUUGCCCAGAUGUGGGGACUGGCAGGUACCCAACCAACCGAAGGGGAAAUACUCUGUGUGUGUGAGUGUCCUGCUGGGAAGAGCAGAACUGAGACUUUCAAUUGGGUCUGAGAGGGUUUUAGAUCAUUGUUUACAGUGUUUCGCAUGUUCUCAAAACAUCUAGCUCUGGAAUGAAAGCAUAAAAGCAUGGAAUAGAAUUUACCCAUGUUACUGACCUAAUACAUUAAAAAUUAAGAUUAAAUAAUGGGGUGCCAAUAUGUGACUCCAGUAAGGGCCAGUGGUUUCUUUUGUAUUAAAUAGGAGUUUAUAGUCAGUGAAUGCUGUGAAAUGUACAUAGGCAUAAUCUUCUGCGUGGAUUUCUAAAGCAUUUCAUUAAAAUAUCUUUCAGUGAGCAUAUAUUUGUUAAUGCCAGCAGAAUGUUAAAGCUGCAAGACCAAGAUGCCUUAUUUGGUGUUGUGUAUAGGUUUGUGCCAAAUGAGAGUAUGGUUUUUCUUAGUAAUUUUCUUGAGAGCUAUGUUAAAUUCUGAAAUUGAACUGAAAAUGUUUUUUUUUAAGUGCAGAAUCAGCAGCAGAUUUGAGAAGUCACUUCAACUUGAUUAUCAUUUGCCACCGUAAAAAGUCCUCCUGUGAAGAUGAAAGGCUUUCUUAGGUAGAAAUAGCACUGCCUGGUUUAACCUCGAUUGCAUUUGCUUGUUAAUCCACAGGGCAAACUGCUGCUGUGCCAGCAGGAGCCAGCCAAUAACACCAGAGCUAGGCAGCUGCCUGUCCCCCAAAGUGGGGAGGAAUACUGGAACUUCAGUGGCAGUAACAUUUUGGCUGGCUUGUGCAUGAAGUGUGAGGUGUAUUUCCCCUGAAGAAACAAACCCUCACUCUGCAUAUCUCUAAAACAUGGCACUUGAAAAAGUGGAAAGGGCUCAAAACAGAGCACUUUCCUUCUGCAUCCUAUAGCCUUCUUCAAAUAUUUCUUGUUGGUUUGUGGUUAUUUGGGAAAAUAUAUGGUGAUGUUUUUUAGAACUGCAGUCUGUCAUUCACAGUCAGUACCUAACAAUUACAGUGGGAGUUGCUGCCUUCUGUAGGUACAGAAGCAGGCUUCAGAGCACAUUUUAUUUGGAAAUUUUUGAUAUGCAAUGCAAUGAUACAAGAAAGCUUUUGGCAAAGCUUCAGGAAUGCUACUUUAGUCUGAAAUGUUUUUUAAAUUUUUCUUUUUUUUUUUUGAGAUAAACUGACAAGGCAAACAGAAUGAAUCACUUUAUUUUGUCUUAAAUCUUUUCAGUAACUUAUGUCAUAGAAUUAUAGAAUCAUUUAUUUUGAAAAAGACCCUAAGAUCAUCCAAUCCAACCGUUAACCCAGUACUGCCAAGUCCACCACUCAAUCAUGUCUGAGUGCCACAUCUACAUGUCUUUUGAAUACCUGCAGGUGUUUCAAUGGUUCCUCUACCACAUUCCUGGGUGACCUCUCCCAAUGCUUGACAACCCUUUACAUGAAGAAAUUUUUCCUAACAUCCAAACUAAACCUCCCCUGGUACAACUUGAGGAUGUUUUGUUUUGUCCUGUGCCUUGUUCCUUGGGAGAAAAGUUCUACCCUCACCUCGCUCAUAACGUCUUGUCAGGCAGCUAUAGAGAGUGAAAAGGUUUUCCCCCCUCAGCCUCCUUUUCUCUGGGCUAAACACUCCCAACUCCCUCAGCCACUCCUGGUCAGACUUGUGGUCCAGAUCCUUGAGCAGCUUCAUUCCCUUUUCUGGAUGCACUGCAGCACUUCAAUGUCUUCUAGUGAGAGGCCCAAAACUGAGCACAGGGUUUGAGAUGCAACUCACCAGGGCUGAGUACAGGAGGACAAUCAUUGCCCUGGUCCUGCUGGCCACACUGCUGCUGAUCCAAGCCAGGCUGCAGUUGGCCUGUUUGGCUACCUGGACUCACUCCUGGCUCAUGUUCAGCUGCUGUAGACCACACCCCAGGUCCUUUCUCAGUGCUUUCCAGCACUCUGCCCCAGCCUGUAGCACUGCCUGGGGAUGAUGUGACCCAGCCCUUGGGGGUUGAACAGUUCAGUUGGACUCAGCCCAUUCAUCUAGGCUGUCCAGAUCCCUCUGUAGGGCACGUCCUUGUGCUGCCAGGAACAUCCCAAGCACAGAGUGUGUUUUGGUGAGUACAAUAUGUUAGAGAGUCAUAAAAUUGCAGCGUUAAGUACAUAUUGAAGAAAUUGUUGCCAUAAUUUCUUCUUCAUGAUAUCUUGAAUGAAAGUGAUACAUACUUGAUUUCAUACAGGUGAGUACCAGCAGGAUUGAGAAAGUUCACUGCUUUAGGGCAUCUGGGAAAAGACACAAGCUAGGGAAAAUGUCAGAGAGAAUGGAAUUUUGUAGAGUGAAGUGAGAAAUACAAAAAGAUUUCCUUCCCUAGAUCCUUUGGUAUCUGGUUACUUGGAAGAAAGAGCACUGGCAGCCACUGGUGUAGGGACUCCAAGUAAUGAGGCUAGUUCCUGUUUUGAUUUUGAUUAGAAACUACUGCUUUGGGUAGUUCCUGUAUGGAGUUUAAGGCAAAAUUUAAAUUCACACUUCCAAGGUUUGUUAAAGAGUUUUCAGAAUAGGUAUAUUGAGUUUAUGUCUUGAAAAUACAUUGGCAUCAUCAUAGAGUUUUUGCAAAAACCCCUAAAACACAGCCCAAAACAGACUACCCCAAACCUCUUAAUUUGUCUUCAAUGCUGAAUUGUUUUUGGUAACAGGAAAUAAAUCAAAACUGCUUAUAUUUGUAUAAUCCUGGAUAAUUUUAGCUCCUCUUGAAAGUUAAUCGUAAUGCUUACAUUCUGUGUCCUAGUUUUCUCCGGGUUCAUAGGAAAAACAACUCUGACAAAAUAAAGAUCUUUCUUUAGCUGUA